rfam:Thiothrix nivea DSM 5205 genomic scaffold Thiniscaffold_4, whole genome shotgun sequence.
GGCCGGGUAGCUCAGUUGGUAGAGCAGGGGAUUGAAAAUCCCCGUGUCGGCGGUUCGAUUCCGUCCCCGGCCA